AGAGAGAGGAGAAAAUGGUGUAAAUUAGAGAAAGAAAAGGGAAGAACGGAAGAGCAGAAAAUAUAUGGCAUAUUCGUGAUAAAUUAGGAGGCGAAAUCAGGAGUUUGAGUAGUUUAUCUAUCGUAAUCAGGAAUAAGAUAUCAAUGAUUCGUGGAUUGAUGUGAGUUACAGUUAUUAUAAGGGUCGGCGGUUGACGCAUUUUGGCAACUUCUCUUCCUCAUCAUUUUUGCAUGUAGAUGAUUGUAUAGUAUAUAGACGGAUGAGAGGAUCCCACUGCUUUUAAGAAUGGUUUGAAAUAUGUACUUGAUAAAUGUUGGAUUUUGAAAUUAUAUAAUAUGUGCGUUUUAUGUACUUGAAGUUUGGUCA